rfam:Homo sapiens chromosome 3, GRCh38 reference primary assembly.
GCCAGGCGUGGUGGCUCACGCCUGUAAUCCAAGCAGUUUGGGAGGCUGAGGUGGGCGGAUCACUUGAGGUCAGGAGUUCGAGACCAGCCUGGCCAAUACAGUGAAACCCCGUCUCUA